rnacentral:misc_RNA from 1 species
AGGCCCGGAAAGAAUUAGGUCCACGAUCCACAGGCACAAUCAUUCUGAUCGUGUUUCUUUCCGGGCAAGCCAUGGAUCAAUUUAUAAAACAGGAUGAGACUGGUGAUUUAAUUGAGACAGGAAUGAAUGUUGCAAAUCAUUUCCUAUCCGCCCCCAUUCAGGGAACCAACUCGCUGAGCAAGGCCUCAAUCAUCCCUGGCGUUGCACCUGUACUCAUUGGCAAUCCAGAGCAAAAGAACAUUCAGCACCCUACCGCAUCACAUCAGGGAUCCAAGUCAAAGGGCAGCGGCUCAGGGGUCAGGUCCAUCAUAGUCCCACCCUCCGAAGCAGGCAAUGGAGGGACUCAGGAUCCUGAGCCCCUUUUUGCACAAACAGGACAGGGUGGUAUAGUCACAACCGUUUAUCAGGAUCCAACCAUCCAACCAACAGGUUCAUCUCGAAGUGUGGAAUUGGCGAAGAUCGGAAAAGAGAGAAUGAUUAAUCGAUUUGUUGAGAAACCUAGAAUCUCAACGCCGGUGACAGAAUUUAAGAGGGGGGCCGGGAGCGGCUGCUCAAGGCCAGACAAUCCAAGAGGAGGGCAUAGACGGGAAUGGAGCCUCAGCUGGGUCCAAGGAGAGGUCCGGGUCUUUGAGUGGUGCAACCCUAUAUGCUCACCUAUCACUGCCGCAGCAAGAUUCCACUCCUGCAAAUGUGGGAAUUGCCCCGCAAAGUGCGAUCAGUGCGAACGAGAUUAUGGACCUCCUUAGGGGGAUGGAUGCUCGCCUGCAACAUCUUGAACAAAAGGUGGACAAGGUGCUUGCACAGGGCAGCAUGGUGACCCAAAUAAAGAAUGAAUUAUCAACAGUAAAGACAACAUUAGCAACAAUUGAAGGGAUGAUGGCAACAGUAAAGAUCAUGGAUCCUGGAAACCCGACAGGGGUCCCAGUUGAUGAACUUAGAAGAAGUUUUAGUGAUCAUGUGACAAUUGUUAGUGGACCAGGAGAUGUGCCGUUCAGCUCCAGUGAAGAACCCACACUGUAUUUGGAUGAGCUGGCGAGGCCCGUCUCCAAGCCUCGUCCUGCAAAGCAGACAAAACCCCAACCAGUAAAGGAUUUAGCAGGACGAAAAGUGAUGAUUACCAAAAUGAUCACUGAUUGUGUGGCUAACCCUCAAAUGAAGCAGGCGUUCGAGCAACGAUUGGCAAAGGCCAGCACCGAGGAUGCUCUGAACGACAUCAAGAGAGACAUCAUACGAAGCGCCAUAUGAAUUCACCAGAAGCACCAGACUCAAGGAAAAAUCCAUGAACUGGAAGCCACAAUGAUUCCCUAUUAAAUAAAAAA